rfam:Ornithorhynchus anatinus chromosome 5, whole genome shotgun sequence.
CCUCUCCUUAGGAUCGCACCUGGAGAGUUUCCAUUGCUCUUCCAGUCUCAGCUACAGGAGGGAGAGUCAAGCAGAGGCAUACCCAUUCCAUUCCUAGCUUGGGCGGUGGCUAGUGAGUGGCAGGCAAUCUGCUACAAGU